rnacentral:rRNA from 1 species
AUUGAACGCUGGCGGCAUGCCUUACACAUGCAAGUCGAACGGCAGCACGGGUGCUUGCACCUGGUGGCGAGUGGCGAACGGGUGAGUAAUACAUCGGAACGCACCUUAUCGUGGGGGAUAACGCAGCGAAAGUUGCGCUAAUACCGCAUACGCCCUGAGGGGGAAAGCGGGGGACCGUAAGGCCUCGCGCGAUUAGAGCGGCCGAUGUCUGAUUAGCUUGUUGGGGAGGUAAAAGCUCACCAAGGCGAUGAUCAGUAGCUGGUCUGAGAGGACGAUCAGCCACACUGGGACUGAGACACGGCCCAGACUCCUACGGGAGGCAGCAGUGGGGAAUUUUGGACAAUGAGGGCAACCCUGAUCCAGCAAUGCCGCGUGAGUGAAGAAGGCCUUCGGGUUGUAAAGCUCUUUCGGCAGGAACGAAACGGUACGGGCUAAUACCUCGUGCUAAUGACGGUACCUGAAGAAGAAGCACCGGCUAACUACGUGCCAGCAGCCGCCGUAA